rnacentral:tRNA from 1 species
GAGAAAAUAGUUUAAAAUUAAAACACUUCACUGAAAAUGAAGACGAUGGGUUUACCCUUUUCUCC